AACGAACGCUGGCGGCAUGCCUAACACAUGCAAGUCGAACGAGACCUUCGGGUCUAGUGGCGCACGUGUGCGUAACGCGUGGGAACCUGCCCUUAGGUUCGGAAUAACUCCCCGAAAGGGGUGCUAAUACCGGAUAAUGUCUUCGGACCAAAGAUUUAUCGCCUUUGGAUGGGCCCGCGUUGGAUUAGCUAGUUGGUAGGGUAAAAGCCUACCAAGGCGACGAUCCAUAGCUGGUCUGAGAGGAGGAUCAGCCACACUGGGACUGAGACACGGCCCAGACUCCUACGGGAGGCAGCAGUGGGGAAUAUUGGACAAUGGGCGAAAGCCUGAUCCAGCAAUGCCGCGUGAGAGAUGAAGGCGUUAGGGUUGUAAAGCUCUUUUACCCGGGAUGAUAAUGACAGUACCGGGAGAAUAAGCUCCGGCUAACUCCGUG
rnacentral:rRNA from 1 species